UACGUAGGGUGCAAGCGUUAAUCGGAAUUACUGGGCGUAAGGCGUGCGCAGGCGGUUUUGUAAGUCUGUCGUGAAAUCCCCCGGCUCAACCGGGGAAUGGCUGGGCAUACUGGCGAUCUUGAGCAGACUAGGGGCAGAUGGAACAAGUGGUGGAGCGGUGAAAUGCGUAGAUAUCACUUGGAACGCCAAAGGUGAAAACAGUCUGCUGGGGACUUGCUGACGCUGAGACACGAAAGCCAGGGGAGCGAACGGG
rnacentral:rRNA from 1 species